CGUGUUCCCCCCCAGGGGGGCCCUCAACACCCGGGAUCCCACCGCCGCCGUUCCAGACACCAUCACCACCACCACCACCACCACCACCACCAGCCCCUGGUGUUGCGGCUGUAUUUUUGUCCGCCGCGGGUGGAGCCCAUGGAUGUGCGGGGGGGGGGAAAGGGAGUUGGAUGCGAUGGUCAAGAGAGGAGCUGAUGGUCGGAUGGGGUUCUAAGCAGAAUGGCCCCAGCGGAAGAGGACUGCGCAUUACAAGAGGCAAUAGAAAGCAUUCGCAGCUGGCUUGGCCCACGCGAGGUGAGGGGACGUACAAAACAACAUACAGACUGGCCACACGGGUUGUGGGGGAUGGAGGGGUGUGUGUGUGUGUGUGUGUGUGUGUGUGUGUGUGUGUGUGUGUGUGUGUGUGUGUGUGUGUGUGUGUGUGUGUGUGUGUGUGUGUGUGUGUGUGUGU
rnacentral:lncRNA from 1 species